UGGGGGAUAUUGCACAAUGGGCGAAAGCCUGAUGCAGCGACGCCGCGUGGGGGAUGAAGGCUUUCGGGUUGUAAACCUCUUUCGCUAUCGAACAAGGCCCGCUUAGGGUGGGUUGAGGGUAGGUGGAGAAGAAGCGCCGGCUAACUACGUGCCAGCAGCCGCGGUAAUACGUAGGGCGCGAGCGUUGUCCGGAAUUAUUGGGCGUGAAGGGCUUGUAGGCGGCUUGUUGCGCCUGCUGUGAAAACGCGGGGCUUAACUUCGCGCGUGCAAUUGGUACGGGCAGGCUUGAGUGUGGUAGGGGUGACUGGAAUUCCAGGUGUAGCGGUGGAAUGCGAAGAUAUCUGGAGGAACACCGAUGGCGAAGGCAGGUCACUGGGCCAUUACUGACGCUGAGGAGCGAAAGCAUGGGUAGCGAACAGG
rnacentral:rRNA from 1 species